UAAACAUAAACAAACAAACAAACAAACAAACAAACGUCACUGCCCUGUUCCUGGACUAUACCUGGGGAGAAGGUCAAAUAUAUGGUCCCCAGCAAAUCUGUGACAUGCUUCCAAAGAAGUCAAAGCAUGGAAAAUCAGGUCACAUUCUGUCCUCCCAUGAUGCUGACCUCAGUGCUGGUAAACAAGCAAACAACCACACAGAUGACAUCCAAGAUGAUGGGCUUACUAGUACCUUCACCAUAGCAGAACGCUACUCAAUAUAUUUUAUGCAGUGCAUACAAAGGUGAAUACCAUCAAGAAAGCAGCCGUGGAAAUUGACACCACAUCUCUCUUAAAGUGUUGAAGGGCGAAUCAAGGCUUUCAGGUGAUCCAGCACAAUUACCAAGGGCCAUGAAACAUGGACUUGAAAUGGAACCAACAACAAAAGAGGAAUUUUAUCAGGGAAACAAACAACAACAUCAACAUUUUAAUGUUGAAAAUUGUGGUUUUUAUAUACACCCAACAAAAUCAUUUUUGGGAGCAAGUCCUGACAUCCUGUAGUUGCUGUGGUGGAGAAUUGUAGAGAUAAAAUGCCCUGUAAUCCCUCCUUGUGAUAAAUGUCAGACAAAAAUGUGUCAUGUACAGGUAAAUGCUUAAAUACCUUGGAUAUGCAAAUGGCAACCACUUUUUAAAGCAAAAUCAUGCUUACUAUGGCCAAAUCCAAUGUCAAAUGGCUGUGACUGGAAGGCACUUUUGUGACUUUUAUGUGUAUACUACAUAUGCCAUAUUCCAACAAAGAAUAAGUUUCAAUAACCUCUACUGGGAAAGUAUGUGCAGUAACUUGGAGUUUUUCUUUCAAAGAUAUAUGGUCCCUGACAUGCUUCAGGCCUCCACCACAGACAGCGUUGCUGCAGAUGAUAGAGAUGUGGAGGACAUGGAGACUGAAGACAUGAUAGGAAAUGUAUUUUUUUGUCCAAUAUGUCGCCAAAUAAUUAAAGAGCAAGAGAACAUUACAAGCUUCGGUCAAAGAAGUAUAUGUUGUUAGCUGUGUGACAAAUGGCACAACUUCAAAUGCAUUAAGAUGUCAAAGUCUUCACUGAAGUCUUAAGGUGACUGGAUAUGUCCAACAUGCAACUCUAGUUAAAAUAUUCAG